GAGAGUGACAAGAGGCGACGGGGAGGAAACGGUGCCACCACCAAGGUCUCAGCCUGGGCCCAGGUCGAGGAAGGCCUUUGUCCUGCAGAACAAAAGCCACUGUUUGCACGUGUUAAACUUCAUCAAACUUCAACAGACCCAGACAGCUUCUGCUCUCAGAUGCAUUGUUCCUAUGACUUCCUACACUCGGCCCUUGUCUGACGAAUUAGGGCACGGAGCCCCCCCAUGGCACAGCUGGGCCCUGCUGGCAUUGUUAAUGAGCCUCCCAGCAUUUCUGCGUCUCCUCGGGAGCCACUGCCCUGUGCAAGAGCUGUUUGCUGAUGCCCAGCCGUGGUUUCCAAAACUCCCUCUCAAGGACUUGGGCAGCUUCUGGAAGUGGCUGAGACUGGAGGAAUGUUGUCACGCCUACCAGAUAUCCCUACGUGUAUCUCUACCACCCCCACUACAUAUUCUGAAGAACCAAGAGCCCUAGCUCCUCCGUGUCCCUCAUCUGUCAAGCCCGCUCUCAGGGAAAAGCAGAAACUCACUCAGUCCCAAAGGUGAAUGGUAACCUCAGCUUCUUCUCAGGGUGGGAGGGGAGGCCCGUGUUUUCCCAGAUCCUAAGCUAAAGUAAGCUCCUGCUAAACAGAUGAGGGAAUUACGCUGAGGGGGAAGAGGUUCACACUGGACUCCUGUGAAUUCCUUGAAGGAUUCAUGAGAUUUCUCACCUCUGGGUUUUCUGUGGGGGUUGAGUCUCUCCAUCUGUAAUGCUCUUUGUCUAAUUGGCUCACACUUUCUUUCUGCUGAAUAAUGUCACUUCUGUGCUUGGGAGUGGUCCCUGGGGUAGAGGAUGCCAGUUGCCAAGCAAAACCUAUUCCCCUUUCUUCUUGACUGACAGACCCUUAUAUUAUUGGGGCAGCUAAAGCACUACAUUUCCCAAGUUUGCAGACAUCUGUGGCCAAGCGGGUGUAAGCAGAAGACUUUAGGGGUAGAGGAUGCCUCAGAGAAAGUUAUUCAAAAGGGGGAUAAUUAAACCAGGAGGUGAACUUUCUUCUUUGCCCUUCCCCCAUGGAAUGUGGCCAUGAUGGUUGGAGCUCCAGCAGCCAUCUUGGGACCAAUGUGAGGAUGGACAUUACAAGCUAAGAGGGCUGAGCAGAAAGAAAGAAGACAUCAGACUCUGAUGAGUGACUGUGGAGCUGCCUUGCCAGUCCUAGACUGCCCAAGGCUGUAUUUCUCUCAGGUGAAAAUAAACCUGUAUCCUCUUUAACUGAUGUUGUUUCUAGUCUUCAUCACUUGCAGCUGAACUAAACCAAAGUAAGCCCUCCCCUUUCUGCACUUCUCCAUACAACUACUCACACUUGCAGCUUCUCAUUCCAUGUCUGUCUUCUCCCUGCCAUGUACCAGCUAUGAGAUCAGUGGUUUGUCUGCAGUGCCGUCUGCAGGAGCCUCAGUGCCUGGUGUGGCAUCUGGCACAUAAGAACAGGCCUGUAAAUGUUUGCUGAACGAGAUGCCCCUGCAACAUGGCUCUGCCAAUGGGCUGGCACACCUGAACCCUCCUUCCAUGGCGUUAAACAAGAUUUAAGGAUAUCGGGGGCUGGGUGCAGUAGCUCAUGCCUAUAAUCCCAGCCCUUUGGGAGGCCAAGGCGGGCAGAUCACUUGAGGUCAGGAGUUCGAGACCAUCCUGGUCAACAUGGUGAAACUCCGUCUUUACAAAAAUUAGCCAGGCAUGGUGGUGUGUGCCUGUAAUCCCAGCUACUCAGGAGGCUGAGGCAGGAGAAUCUCUUGAGCUCAGGAGGUGGAGGUUGCAGUGAGCCAAGAUUGGGCCACUGCACUCCAGCCUGGGCAACAGAGUUAGACUCCAUCUCAAAAAAAAAAAGAAGAUUUAAGGAUAUCAGGAGCCAGGGCCCAUGAGAGGUCAGUGUUUAGACUAAUUAGGGCACAGGAGAGGGAAAACCACCGAUUUGCAUUUAUUUAUAAGAAAACCGGCUAUUUUUGAGCACCCUCCAUGUGCCAGGAGCUGCAUUGAGACUUAACGGAAAAUCUUUCCGAUCCUCACCGUGGGGGUGAUGCAGGCAGCUGGCAUUCCUGACUUUAGGGUAUACCCAUGUCGUGUGAUCUGUCCCUGCAUAGCAAACUGCCCCUGAGCUCAGAGCUUAAAACAACAGGCAUUUUUUGAAUUUCUCAUGAUUCUAAGGGUUCACUGGGGCUCAACUAGAGGGUCCCUCUGCUGGUCUUGUUUGGGGUCUCAUCCAGCUGCAGUCAGGUGGCGGCAGUGGCUGGACCUCCAAGGUGACUGCAUUCACCUCCCUGGAGCUUUGGCAGGAGUGCCUGGGAGGCUGGGCUCAGCUAGGACAUU
rnacentral:lncRNA from 1 species